GCGGCUAUAAUGCAGUCGAGGGGUAUGGGAGAGCUUGCUUUCCCUGAGACCGGCGCACGGGUGCGUAACGCGUAUGCAACCUACCCUUUUCUGGGGGAUAGCCCGAAGAAAUUCGGAUUAAUACCGCAUAAGACCACGCUAUGGCAUCAUAGAGGGGUCAAACAUUUAUGGGAGAAGGAUGGGCAUGCGUGCCAUUAGCUAGUUGGCGGGGUAACGGCCCACCAAGGCGACGAUGGCUAGGGGAUCUGAGAGGAUGGCCCCCCACACUGGUACUGAGACACGGACCAGACUCCUACGGGAGGCAGCAGUAAGGAAUAUUGGUCAAUGGAGGCAACUCUGAACCAGCCAUGCCGCGUGCAGGAAGACGGCCCUCUGGGUUGUAAACUGCUUUUAUUCGGGAAUAAACCCUUUGCUCGUGAGCGAAGCUGAAUGUACCGAAGGAAUAAGGAUCGGCUAACUCCGUGCCAGCAGCCGCGGUAAUACGGAGGAUCCAAGCGUUAUCCGGAUUUAUUGGGUUUAAAGGGUGCGUAGGCGGCCUGUUAAGUCAGGGGUGAAAGACGGUAGCUCAACUAUCGCAGUGCCCUUGAUACUGAUGGGCUUGAAUGGACUAGAGGUAGGCGGAAUGAGACAAGUAGCGGUGAAAUGCAUAGAUAUGUCUCAGAACACCGAUUGCGAAGGCAGCUUACUAUGGUCUUAUUGACGCUGAGGCACGAAAGCGUGGGGAUCGAACAGGAUUAGAUACCCUGGUAGUCCACGCCCUAAACGAUGAAUACUCGCUGUUGGCGAUACACAGUCAGCGGCUAAGCGAAAGCGUUAAGUAUUCCACCUGGGGAGUACGCCCGCAAGGGUGAAACUCAAAGGAAUUGACGGGGGCCCGCACAAGCGGAGGAGCAUGUGGUUUAAUUCGAUGAUACGCGAGGAACCUUACCCGGGCUUGAAAGUUAGUGAACUAUCCAGAGAUGGAUGGGUCCUUCGGGACACGAAACUAGGUGCUGCAUGGCUGUCGUCAGCUCGUGCCGUGAGGUGUUGGGUUAAGUCCCGCAACGAGCGCAACCCCUAUGUUUAGUUGCCAGCACGUUAAGGUGGGGACUCUAAACAGACUGCCUGUGCAAACAGAGAGGAAGGAGGGGACGACGUCAAGUCAUCAUGGCCCUUACGUCCGGGGCUACACACGUGCUACAAUGGACGGUACAGAGGGCAGCUAGGCAGCAAUGUCGUGCGAAUCUCAAAAAGCCGUUCACAGUUCGGAUUGGGGUCUGCAACUCGACCCCAUGAAGUUGGAUUCGCUAGUAAUCGCGUAUCAGCAAUGACGCGGUGAAUACGUUCCCGGGCCUUGUACACACCGCCCGUCAAGCCAUGGAAGUUGGGGGUACCUAAAGUACGUAACCGCAAGGAGCGUCCUAGGUAA
rnacentral:rRNA from 1 species